GUAGGGAAUAUUGGGCAAUGGAUGCAAGUCUGACCCAGCCAUCCCGCGUGCCGGAAGAAGGCCCUCAGGGUUGUAAACGGCUUUUGACGGUGAAGAACCGACAGGAUGCGUCCUGUUUUGACGGUAGCCGUUGAAUAAGCACCGGCUAACUCCGUGCCAGCAACCGCGGUAAUACGGAGGGUGCGAGCGUUGUCCGGAUUUAUUGGGUUUAAAGGGUGCGUAGGCUGGAAGGUCAGUCAGCGGUGAAAAGCUAUCGCUUAACGAUAGUCUUGCCGCAGAUACUUCCUUUCUUGGAUGAGGAGGAGGCCACUGGAACGGAUGGUGUAGCGGUGAAAUGCAUAGAUAUCAUCCAGAACACCGAUUGCGAAGGCAGGUGGCUGUACCUUAAUCGACGCUGAUGCACGAAAGCAUGGGGAGCAAACAGGAUUAGAAACCCUUGUAGUCC
rnacentral:rRNA from 1 species